rnacentral:lncRNA from 1 species
UGGAGGAUCCCAUGGACAGAGGAGCCUGGUGGGCUACAUGUACAAAGAGUUGGACAUGACUGAAGUGACUAAACACACAUGAAUUUCUUUUGUUAGAAUAUCCUUCAAAAGAUUGAGAGAUGACAGACUAGAUGGCAGUCCUGUUGGAAGUGAUCUAAGAAGCUCUGGUAUCACCACUCCUGCCCUGGUUCCACAUCUGCAGAUUAACUCAAUGUGGUUGCUUGAAUCUGUGGAAGCGGGACCUUGGCUACUGUGGGAACACUGUUUUCUAAAAGGGAAUUGAGCAUCUCUGGAUUCUGGUAUUCAAGCAGGUGGCACGCUCAAAUUACUCUGGCUUUGAGAUUUCAGAACUUUGAAAUAUUUCCAAUGGAAGGCAAACUCUUUUUGGCAGGGAUCAAGUUUGCCAUGUUUAUGUCCCUAGCAUUUACUAGAAUGCCUCAUGACUCAGUUGGUAAAGAAUCUGCCUCCAAUGUAGGAGGUCCGGGUUAGAUUCCUGGGUUAGGAAGACCCCUGAAGAAGGAAAUGGCAACCCGCUCCAGUAUUCUUGCCUGGAGAAUCCCACGGACAGAGGAGCCUGGUGGGCUACAAUUCAUGGGGUUGCAAGAGUCGGACACGACUUAGCGACUAAACCGCCAACCUAGCGCAUGAUAAACGUCCUCUAAAAUGAAUUACACUUAAUCAAAUUGAUGUUAUUGACAAAGGGAGAGUGAAAUCAUGCUUUGAAAUCACCUACUUGGAGAGGGUUUCAAUUUUCCACUUUGGGUGGGUAAGUUUCAAACUGUCUGAACUAAAAGUAAAUUGAUCUAUGGAGCACUGAUAGGAACUUAUGAUUCUGUCCUCAUUAGGUUUCUCAUUAUUUGUGAAAAAUUAUUAAAUGCUGUCUUGUUACCGUCAUAUUUUUUCCUCAUUUUUUAAUUUUAUUAAUUGUUAUUGGAAUGUAACUGCUUUACAAUGUUGUGUCAGUUUCUGCUGAACGAAGUGAACCAGCCAUCAGGCUACAUGUAUAUAUACCCUCCCUCUUAAACUUUCCUCUCACUGUCCCCAUCCCACACCUCUAGGUCAUUUUAAUAUAACUAUACUUUAUGUAAUUGAUUUCUAGCUGACCUCCCAGUGGGCUGAUAAUUCAAUGUUAUAAAUUACACUGUCUGUGUUUUGACUCAUCUUUUUUGUGUCCUUUUGCCUUUGAAGCUACCACAACUUCAAAGAAAGUUAAAAUAAAGAGAUGUACAGGUUCA